UGCAUAUUUUGCUCAGGCGGAGCUCGACCGCCCGUUCAAGCGAUGAUCGCGUUCAUCGACGAUCAGCGCGCAGUUCAUGGGGUCGAGCUGAUCCGCAAGGUCUGCCGAUCGCCCCA
rnacentral:ncRNA from 1 species